rnacentral:rRNA from 1 species
UAAGGUGGUUAUAGCGACGGGGCUCACCUCUUACCAUUCCGAACAGAGUAGUUAAGCCCGUUUGCGCCGAUGGUACUGCGAUCCCGUGGGAGAGUAGGUCGCCGCCUUCC